GCCCUAGUAGCUUAACUAAAGCCCCGGUUUUGUACACCGGACGAUUGUAGAUGAAAACUCUCCCUAGCGCU
rnacentral:tRNA from 2 species